rnacentral:rRNA from 1 species
CAAGUCGAGCGGAUGAGUGGAGCUUGCUCCAUGAUUCAGCGGCGGACGGGUGAGUAAUGCCUAGGAAUCUGCCUGAUAGUGGGGGACAACGUUUCGAAAGGAACGCUAAUACCGCAUACGUCCUACGGGAGAAAGUGGGGGAUCUUCGGACCUCACGCUAUCAGAUGAGCCUAGGUCGGAUUAGCUAGUUGGUGAGGUAAAGGCUCACCAAGGCGACGAUCCGUAACUGGUCUGAGAGGAUGAUCAGUCACACUGGAACUGAGACACGGUCCAGACUCCUACGGGAGGCAGCAGUGGGGAAUAUUGGACAAUGGGCGAAAGCCUGAUCCAGCCAUGCCGCGUGUGUGAAGAAGGUCUUCGGAUUGUAAAGCACUUUAAGUUGGGAGGAAGGGCAGUAAGUUAAUACCUUGCUGUUUUGACGUUACCGACAGAAUAAGCACCGGCUAACUUCGUGCCAGC